rnacentral:rRNA from 1 species
CACUCCUGCGGGAGGCAGCAGUGGGGAAUAUUGCACAAUGGGCGCAAGCCUGAUGCAGCCAUGCCGCGUGUAUGAAGAAGGCCUUCGGGUUGUAAAGUACUUUCAGCGGGGAGGAAGGCGAUAAGGUUAAUAACCUUGUCGAUUGACGUUACCCGCAGAAGAAGCACCGGCUAACUCCGUGCCAGCAGCCGCGGUAAUACGGAGGGUGCAAGCGUUAAUCGGAAUUACUGGGCGUAAAGCGCACGCAGGCGGUCUGUCAAGUCGGAUGUGAAAUCCCCGGGCUCAACCUGGGAACUGCAUUCGAAACUGGCAGGCUAGAGUCUUGUAGAGGGGGGUAGAAUUCCAGGUGUAGCGGUGAAAUGCGUAGAGAUCUGGAGGAAUACCGGUGGCGAAGGCGGCCCCCUGGACAAAGACUGACGCUCAGGUGCGAAAGCGUGGGGAGCAAACAGGAUUAGAUACCCUAGUAGUCCCAUG